UUGACGGGGACCCGCACAAGCAGCGGAGCGUGUGGUUUAAUUCGUUGCUACACGAAGAACCUUACCUGGGUUUGACAUAUAGGUUGUAGGGAACUGAAAAGGGACCGACCCUUCGGGGAGCCUAUACAGGUUGUUGCAUGGCUGUCGUCAGCUCGUGUCGUGAGAUGUUCGGUUAAGUCCGCUAACGAGCGCAACCCUCGUCGUAUGUUAUAUGUGUCAUACGAGACUGCCGGUAAAAGCCGGAGGAAGGUGAGGAUGAUGUCAAGUCAGCAUGACCUUUAUAUCCAGGGCUACACACACGCUACAAUGGUCUGUACAAUGGGUAGCCAAGCCGCGAGGCGGAGCCAAUCCUGAAAGCAGGCCUCAGUUCAGAUUGCAGUCUGCAACUCGACUGCAUGAAGCCGGAGUUGCUAGUAACCGCAGGUCAGCAAUACUGCGGUGAAUACGUUCCCGGGUCUU
rnacentral:rRNA from 1 species